rnacentral:pre_miRNA from 1 species
UAGAAAGAUUAUUGUAUUCGACUGUAUUCACGGCGUGAAAUAGGGGAUUACACUAUUUUUAAACGGAAAGUGAAUCAAUUAACAUAAUAGACUCAU